CCAACCAGGGCAAAUGGAUCCUA
rnacentral:siRNA from 1 species